CAACAAUUUCUCUAAUAACCGAGAACAUCGACCCGUCAACACCGGCAAACCAGGAGGCAGCUUUGCCAUAUCUAGGGACGGCUCCACCGGCAAACCAGGAGGCAGCUUUGCCAUAUCUAGGGACGGCUCCAUCUGGGGGAGGUCGGGCGGGCGGGCCUGUGCGCCAGAUCUCAGAUCUAUGGCUUGUUUCUUUCUUGAUAUAUACUAUAUAUGCGUAGUGUCAUUGUGGAUGUGGGGCCACGCGGCGUGAUACGCGUUGUUAAAUUACCGCCUGAAGUGGCCAGGUACAGGCAGCUAAUCUCCUCGUCGUCCUCUCCUUUAUAAAUCGAAAAAUUCCCCUUGCCCCCGGCACAAAGGUCCUCUUCUCUUGUAGGUCGCGCCCCCGUGAACCUGGACGCCAUGGGUGCUUCUCUUUUGAACGAUUGUUCGGAUCGUGGGUCUCCGUGUACCCUUCUCCGAUCCCCGUUUGGUACUCAAUCCAUCGACCCAGGACUUCUGCACUGAAUGGGCCUAUCUGCACUACAAUGCACCAUCCACAAAGAAUGCCAGGUGGGUUUCUGGUACACUACGCCAUGGAAGCCCAUUUCCGGCCGAGCUGCCCUCCUCGUCGGCCGAGCUGGGAUGGUGCACUCUGCACCGGCCCAGCAUCAAAAGCCCUUCGCAACGGCCCGACCUCUUCUAUCAAUCGAAGCGACCUGGGUGGCGGCUCCUGCUUCGCUCUCGCAAUCUUCCCUCCUCCUCCUCCUCCGAAGAGCGACGGCGGCGGCUGCGGGCGAACGGCGGAUCCACCGGCGGAAGGCGAACAGAGAAGCCACAGGGAGAAGGCAAGAAGGGUUUGGAAGAAGGCAAUCCGCGAGUCCACCCGCAGAAGGCUAGCCGCGAGUCCACCUGCAGAAGGCUAGCCGCGAACCCACUGGAAGAAGGCAACCAGAAGAACCCCCUUGGUUGAAUCCAUUCGGAGCCUACUCUAGGGUUUGGAGACACGAGAAACAAGGCGUCUGAACUGUCGGGCCGCCCUACUGGUCAUUUGGGUUUGAGUGCACUUUGCUAUCUCUGGUGUCUAAACUACUGGAUUUGAGUCUGUCCAAGGUGUUCUGAGUGAAUAUUGCAAUCUGGUUCUUACUAAUGGCCGCUGAAAUUCACCGAAGCCAGUCACUACUUGACAUGGAUGCAUUUAUCGCCCAUGAGCGUCAUGCACAUGCCCUUACAGAGGAGAGAGCCAAUAGUCCUCAGAACAGGCAGAGGUCCAUUCGUGAUGUCUUCUGCAUCAAUCUGUCUGCAGAUCCAUCUUCUGAACAACUAACUGCGUACUAUGCGGAAAGCAAUGCACGUUCACUCAAUAUCUCUUCAUUAAGAGUGCCUGGAAGGUUGAGAGAUGGCACUCUUAUCGAAGUACCAGUUACUGCGGCAACACCGAAGAAUAUUGAGGACACGAGUCAUCACAUCGUGGCUUUCCAUCGAGAGUCAGAUAGAGCUGUGGCAGAAGUUUUAGUGGAGGAUUAUAGUGGAUAUGUUGUUGCGUCCAGAUUUAUCCCGCCUAAAGUUAAGAAGGCAACAGUACGUUUUUGUCACAUUGGCGGGGCCAAGCUGGCCGCAAGGUUUCAGCCAGUGCAUCCAACCAAGUAUGGUCCAGCUUAUGCGCAUCUCGACAAGGUCAGGCUUGGAGUUGGCAUUGUCCCUCAGAUGGUUACUUUUCUGGAGAAGCUUAGCAAGAACCCUGAGCAGGCUGCUACCCAGUAUGGGUAUAUCAUGUUGGCGACCCUUUAUGUUUUGGUCUCUGAAGGCCGGAGGUUUUGGGUUAUCCAGGAAUGGAAUGUAGCGAAUAUCCAGGGUUUCAAACAGGAGCUUUAGCCCCGUCGCUUUUUCUUUCUUGUCAAAAAAUGUCUUGCUCUUAGCAAGUGUUGUUAUUUGGCUUAUCUGGUUAUCCUUGAGAGGACGCAGCUUGCUGUGAAUGCAACAGCUGCUAUAACUUCAAGUGAUGCAAAGGCUAAUGCCGUGGAGGAAUGGUGUCAAAGGCAAGAAGAUGUCGAUGCAACUGGACUGGUGUUCUAUCAACCUGGAGUCGACAUAGACCUCAACUUACUUGCAGGUGGUCAGUUGCUUCUCCUAAGGCACGACUGUGUCCUCUGCGACAAAGUUCUCUUGCGUUCCAACGGUUAUGAUGGCUACUGGGCGAAGGACAUCCAAAUCGAGGCGUCAGAAAUACCUCUGGAUCCUGAUAAGUGGGAGUUGCUCUGAUAGCACAUCCAAGUCUAGACCACCAACCUCUUUUUGUGUCGGUCUGAAAUUGUUUUGUCAUUCGUAUACUUCUUCUGCCCUGUUGAGGGUUCUAAUCAUUGUUGUUCAGCUCUGAUGUGUUCCUGUAGUGCCCUCGUUGUGGCUGCUAGCGUGUAUCUUCUUUCUUGACUAGUGUAUGUUCCUGUACUGGUCCUUACUGUAGUGCCCUUACUGAGGCUUUAUAUCCAUGUACUCGCUACAUCGUGAAUUUGUGAAUAUAUGAAGGCAGGAUGAAUAUCUGAGGUAGAAUGUGCAGGGUUUCUCAGUUUGUGUAAACUAGUUCUACCAUCAAUGACAUCUUGUGCCAUGGUCAAUGAGAG
rnacentral:rRNA from 1 species